CCAGAUCUUCAAGCGUGGCAGCUGGAUGCUCAUGGACUGAAAAAGAAGCAAUUAUAACAAGUCCCCUCCAAUUUUUAUCAUCAUACAGUGUGGAAAAUGAGGGGGAGAAUAUGUUUUCUCAUUAUAUUUUGUUUACAAGAUUACACAGGUAUAUAUGUAUAAGCUAGGGAAGGCUAAUAUCCACUGGCCAGGUUAAGAACCAUUGGCCAGUCUAAGAGCUGUUGGCCAACACACCACAACCUUAACUUUAACCCCUAAUUAUAGGAAAACUCUAAUUACAAGCAACAAGAUCAAAUCCCCUAAAUUAAGGACGUGUAAAUCAAGACGU
rnacentral:lncRNA from 1 species